rnacentral:rRNA from 1 species
GUGUCCUACGGGAGGCAGCAGUGGGGAAUCUUGCGCAAUGGGCGAAAGCCUGACGCAGCCAUGCCGCGUGAAUGAUGAAGGUCUUAGGAUUGUAAAAUUCUUUCACCGGGGACGAUAAUGACGGUACCCGGAGAAGAAGCCCCGGCUAACUUCGUGCCAGCAGCCGCGGUAAUACGAAGGGGGCUAGCGUUGCUCGGAAUUACUGGGCGUAAAGGGAGCGUAGGCGGACAUUUAAGUCAGGGGUGAAAUCCCGGGGAUCAACCUCGGAAUUGCCUUUGAUACUGGGUGUCUUGAGUAUGAGAGAGGUGUGUGGAACUCCGAGUGUAGAGGUGAAAUUCGUAGAUAUUCGGAAGAACACCAGUGGCGAAGGCGACACACUGGCUCAUUACUGACGCUGAGGCUCGAAAGCGUGGGGAGCAAACAGGAUUAGAUACCCUGGUAGUCUC